UCCUCUCUGUUCACGAGCGAACAGGAGCGAGGAGAGGAGGAAGACGACGAUUCGCCCGACGCCAGCUGGCCCCUCCCGUUGACUAGUGCGUGGACCCCACGGCCCCACAAGUCAGCGAGACAGGAGCCGGUCCCGCCUCUGCUGACUAGGAUAAGUGGAAGCGUAUUCCGGUGGAAUACAUCUUCCCUAUCCGAAAGCGUACUCGGUCUCUGUUGCGGUUCCAUUUACGUUUUCUCAUCGGGAAGCGUAUUCUGUCGAAAGGCGCUUUCUGUUUUUCUGUCCAGGCCCUGUUUGAAAAUAUUUUCAUUACAGAAAGGUCCCUGGCUGAAAACACUUCAUAUCUUUUUAACCACAACUCCAAAUGAGGUGAUUCCAAAGCCCACUUCUUUGUUUCGUCGAGCCCGUUCUGUUGGUUUCAUUUUCACUAUGGUUUGACACUGUGAAAAUGACCUUUUUGCCCUUGCGCGUAAACAGCCCCUUCGAGAGAGAACCGUUUCCGGCAAAUCUUUCCGCGGCUUCACCGCACUUCUCCCCGGUGCCUUCUUCAUCCCCAGGCAAGCCACAAUACCCACUUGCAUGAUAGUCAUGCAGUAGCCAUGGUUUUCAACUUGAAUCUUUAUUAAAUGUUUGCUUGUUGAAAAGAUGGUUACCGUUGUUCCGGUGAUGUUUAAAUUUGCAUGUUCACUUUUGUGCUAUGUUGUCUUGUACUCUGUUAUCAUGUUCUACCUGCUAGUAUCUCCUUUCAUAAGUUUAUGCUUGCUAGUAGUACAUGUUGAUGUUGGUGAUGGUCUUCGGUGCAUGACUUCCGUCUGUCCCGAGUGCCGUUGUUAUGCAUGUUCCAUUGCAUCCAGUUGGUUAAAUGCUUGCAUGAUGGCAUUGUUGAUAUGUUCUUGCAUGAUAUUUAUUGUUGAUGCUAGUGGUCAUGCUAUGUUUCGGAGAAGUAUGUACUUAUGAUGUUCAUGCUCUUCAUUAUGCCAUGUUCAGUUGGAUAUGAUUUAUUGUUGAUAUGGUGAAUAGUUAUGUGAUACCCUCAUGAUUGUGUUGAUAUCAUGUUCAUGCAUUUUUAUCAUGACUCAGCAUAUUUGCAUUCAAGUUAACCGGAUUAAAUUGAACUUGAACAACUGUUGGCUGAGUCAUGGUGCCGCUGAAUCGAUGCUGACCAGUGCAACCACGCUUACCGGUAUGGGACGGUCCUAACUGGGUCUAUUGUUGUGCCUCUCGCCGGUGCCUCCAACGAGGGAAGGUUAUGGGCGCGCGCUACCCUGAUCAGGUAGGCGGACAUAACCUUGUGUGCCCGUUGUUGAGUUUUUUUGGAUCCGUGUCCCCGUGUGGGACGGGCCACGACGGUGGUCGUUUUGUCUUUGGUAGACACGGGGCCACCCAUGACUUAGCCCAGAGGGGAGUGAGUCGGAGUGGCCGGGAGAGUGUCAUGGCAGUAGAUCGGUUUUGUUGGAACGUCGUUGGUCCACGCGAAUGGGAGUGCGAGGCCAUGGGUUCCGUAGUGUGGGUACAGUGUACUAACCUCUGCAGAGUGUAUAUUAAAUCUAUCGAUAGCCGCGUCCGCGGAUAAGGGCCCAGGUCGAAAGUAGGGUACACCAUGAGUCAACAGUAAUAGUAAUAACUUGAUUAAUGACAACCCGUGGUUGUGAUCGCCGUAAGGAUCACGGGCCAUUUAUUGGUCGGGUUGUGAUCGUCGUAAGGAUCACGGGCCUUUUACUGGUCGGGUUGUGAUCGCCGUAAGGAUCACGGGCCAUUUAUUGGUCGGGUUGUGAUCGCCGUAAGGAUCACGGUUUGGGACCAAGUGUUGGUCGUGGUUGUGAUCGCCGUAAGGAUCACGAUGGUAUCAAGGAUACCGAGUUGUUGGAUAUUCGUGUUGUUGUGCGAGAAUCGUGGGUAAAGAUCAAGCUCCUUGUGGUCAUUUACUGGUCGCUACGGUAUUGUUUAUACCAAGCUUGAUUUGAUCCUGAGAUGAUCGUGUGAUGUCCGAGGUCGGUAAGUGAUGCAUGUGAAGGUUACCAAGUAACCCGAGCGGAAUAAGUGGUGCAUAUAGUGUCAUCAUGUUGCAUGCUAGUAUUGUAGAUUAAUAUGUUCAUGUUGUGUUAGUUGUAUCAUGUUCAUGCUAUAUUGUUCUGAUGAUAUCAUGAUAAUCCCUGCUUAACCUGUAAUUGCCAUGCUGUUGUUUGUCUUGAAUGCUUCUGGUUAUUGUGAGCUUGCAAGUACAUUCAAUGUACUGACCUGGCGUGUCAUGCCAGUUUGCAGGUCAUGCCGGAUUUGAUUGCUUGCUUGUCGUGGUUUCCGUUCGUGCGAGCUAGGAUAAGCGUUCCAGCCAGAGUCCCUGCGGAGUGGAGUUCACCACCGUCGCCGUUGUUCCGCUGCUAGAAUUAAUCCGCUGCUUCGAGUUGUUCUGCUGCUUGCAUAGAGCAACUGAGGAUGGCGUAGUGUCGCCGUACCGAUGUUAUUCAUUGUAAUAUCGGAGACCUUGUAUUCAUAUUCGUGUAAUAAUAGAAGGCUGGUUUGUUCUAUGCUGAGCAGUGCCGUAUUUCAGAAGACUUCAUCUCGAUCUCUGGGCUGGAAUACGGGGCGUUCCGGUUUUCUCUGAGCCGGGGUGCCACACGUAUGAAUGUAAAGUCGGAGUCAGACUGAAUGAAAUCUAUGGUUUGAUCGAUUGAAUGUUCUGCUAGAGUCGUAUCAAAUUAAAUAUAAAACGUCAUCAAG
rnacentral:lncRNA from 1 species